GAACGGUAGCACAGAGAGCUUGCUCUCGGGUGACGAGUGGCGGACGGGUGAGUAAUGUCUGGGAAACUGCCUGAUGGAGGGGGAUAACUACUGGAAACGGUAGCUAAUACCGCAUAACGUCUUCGGACCAAAGUGGGGGACCUUCGGGCCUCACACCAUCGGAUGUGCCCAGAUGGGAUUAGCUAGUAGGUGGGGUAACGGCUCACCUAGGCGACGAUCCCUAGCUGGUCUGAGAGGAUGACCAGCCACACUGGAACUGAGACACGGUCCAGACUCCUACGGGAGGCAGCAGUGGGGAAUAUUGCACAAUGGGCGCAAGCCUGAUGCAGCCAUGCCGCGUGUAUGAAGAAGGCCUUCGGGUUGUAAAGUACUUUCAGUGGGGAGGAAGGCGAUGAAGUUAAUAACUUCGUCGAUUGACGUUACCCGCAGAAGAAGCACCGGCUAACUCCGUGCCAGCAGCCGCGGUAAUACGGAGAGUGCAAGCGUUAAUCGGAAUUACUGGGCGUAAAGCGCACGCAGGCGGUCUGUCAAGUCGGAUGUGAAAUCCCCGGGCUCAACCUGGGAACUGCAUUCGAAACUGGCAGGCUAGAGUCUUGUAGAGGGGGGUAGAAUUCCAGGUGUAGCGGUGAAAUGCGUAGAGAUUUGGAGGAAUACCGGUGGCGAAGGCGGCCCCCUGGACAAAGACUGACGCUCAGGUGCGAAAGCGUGGGGAGCAAACAGGAUUAGAUACCCUGGUAGUCCACGCCGUAAACGAUGUCGACUUGGAGGUUGUGCCCUUGAGGCGUGGCUUCCGGAGCUAACGCGUUAAGUCGACCGCCUGGGGAGUACGGCCGCAAGGUUAAAACUCAAAUGAAUUGACGGGGGCCCGCACAAGCGGUGGAGCAUGUGGUUUAAUUCGAUGCAACGCGAAGAACCUUACCUGGCCUUGACAUCCACGGAAUUUGGCAGAGAUGCCUUAGUGCCUUCGGGAACCGUGAGACAGGUGCUGCAUGGCUGUCGUCAGCUCGUGUUGUGAAAUGUU
rnacentral:rRNA from 1 species